rnacentral:lncRNA from 1 species
UAUACAGUACAAGUGUUAAAAUGUCUAUAUCUAGCAAAUUUUGCUUAAUUCAGUCCAAGGAAAUAAUUCUAACAGUGGCAAAGUAAUUAUGUACAAAGAAUCUUUGAGAUCAUUAAGUAUUUAUAUUCAGAACAAUGCUGGCCCUAAGACAGUAUGGUGAGCACAAUUUAAGGCAAAAAAUAAGCAGGAAAAAUUCCUACUGACAAAACUUAGGAUAAUUUUACUUUAUGGGUAUUGCCUCAUUCCCAACCACUAUUACUGGAUCGUUUUCUGAAUGCUUAUAUUUUAUUAAGACACAGGAAUUUAAAAUUAAGUCAUCUGUGCUUUUGAUUAGAAGAAUGUACUUUUCAGUAGUGAAAUACAGAGUAUCUUACCAGAAAAACAGGAAGCUGAAAUUUAUCAUUCAGAACUACAGCUUGUACACUACACGGUCCACAGAGCCGAGCAAUAACUUCUUUACCCAAAAAGUUUGCAUGGAAGAUAAACAGCAGGAUGCCAGAGCCUGAAAAUGGGAGAUGUGUGUGAAUUACUUCAAAGGCAACCUUCAGUCCCCAGAGGAACACUCAACACCAGAUGGAAGCAGGCCCCUGAGCUGGGCCUGGUCAGACAGGCAUCACCCACUCUGCCUGGAGGCUCAGAGGAGGCUGGCCCUCUCAAAGCUCGUGUCACCUGGCAUUUUUCAACCACAGAACUCUUUUUACCUUUUGCCCAAGUAAUCUCUGCUGACAGUUCCUGGAAAAGACUUACGUAUGAUUUUCUACACUGAAGUUAUUUAACUGGUAUUUAAACACUGCUGCUGAAUGUGCACACGUCCCAGGGACAUUCCUGUGGUGGGCAUCUUUGGGUGUGGGUCUGAGUGGUUUUCCAUUUUCUUCCACAUACCCUUUUGCCCCUUCCAAUUUUUCUGAUUAAUACAUAACCAAAAAUUGGCCAGGCAUGGUGGCUCAUGUCUGUAAUCCCAGCACUUUGGGAGGCAGAGGCAGGCAGAUCACUUGAGGCCAGGAGUUCAAGAUCAGCCUGGCCAAUAUGGUGAAACCCCCAUCUCUACUAAGAACACAAAAUUUAGCUGGGUAUCAUGGUGGGCACCUGUAAUUCCAGCUACUCGGGAGGUUGAGGCAGGAGAAUUGCUUGAACCCAGGAGGCGGAGGUUGCAGUGAGCCGAGAUCGCACCACUGCACUCCAGCCUGGGGAACAGUGUGAGACUCCUGAAAAAAAAAAAAAAAAGUUGGUGGAUGCAGACAUUGUACACAUGCUGAGAAAACUGCAGGCCCAGCAGUUGUAGGUGUCAGUGGGGGCUCAGGUUCACCAGGGCCAGCUCAGGGCAUCGUUCUCUGGUACUCAUACCUGGCAAUGCAGAUGGUCCACCCGAAUAAUCAAAACUAUAAAUUACUGAACGCGCACGGUGGCUCACGCCUGUAAUCCCAGCACUUUGGGAGGCUGAGGCAGGCGGAUCACUUGAAGCCAGAAGGCAGAGGUUGCAGUGAGCCAAGAUCAUGCCAUGCACUGCAGCCUGGGUGACACAGGGAGACUCCAUCUCAAAACAACAGCAACCACCUGAUAAGUUCUCUCAACACUAAGAUAUUACAAACGGCUCUUUCAGGGGCAGGGCUAUAUGUUCUUAAAUACAUUUUCCAGGAAUGAAUACAAACCAUUUACAAAAUGGGGAACAGGAGUUUCUAAGCAAAAAAAGCCAGAGCCCGGCUUCCUCCCCUCGGCAGACUGCACUGCCUCCACGUCUACCUGGCGCCACGUGUAGAGAGGGCCAGCCGCAGCCCUGCCUGGAGAGGGUCUGUCGAGCAGAGGCUAGAGAGGAAAGUGGCUUCUCCAUCUCUUUCCACUCAGCUUUACUAUGGAGCAAGACUAUUUUUUUCUUUUUCAAAGGGCAAAGACUAUUACAAACAACAAAAUUCAGGGAAAAAACAUUCUAGGCUUAGAAUCUUGACGCUGAAUUUUAAUAAAACUCAUUGAGAACUAGUGUGAUUAUUAAGACCUAACUUCCAUGCUCUAUAUGGGUGUUAAAACAGGGAUGGGGUGUCAGCUGGAUGUCUCUUCCACCAGAGUGGCUCUACUGUUAACCGGUCUGCAGAAUUAUUACACGUAAUGGAAUUUCCUUAAAGUUUUGUUCCAAGAAAGGAUUCUGUCUAAAAAUCUGUUAAUAUAGUGUCACACUUCACAUAGAAAAGUGUGAAGGGAGGCAUCGGCUUACCUUCUGGUAUGUUCUGUGGGGGUUUGUAAUUGAAAUCUGUUGAAAAAUCUGGACCCUCACAGAGUCGAUGACAUGCGAUUGGAAAAACUGGUUCUAGCAGAGCAAGGCGAGCUUCAAAGUAAUCCUUUAUUGUCUCUUCUGCUACUCUUGAAAGUCUAAGAAAAAAAAAUAGUACGUGUUAACGUUAAUGUAGAAAAGAACCACAAGCCUGUCGAAUACCAGUGAGGGCUUCCCAGGCCAACCUUCCAAACAAAGACCUGCAGCUCUGCCUGCCUCCGCUUUCCAGCUCUACUUCCACCAAGCACCUGACACCCAUGUGUCUGUCUUGUUGUCCAUCUCAGUGGAAUUGAAGUUCUAAGAAGGCAAGUCUCUUCCCUCCACUGCCAUUUCCAUCUCCCCAGCCUUUAGAACAGUGCCUGGCACAAAGUCUAUGCUUAAUACAUAGUUGUCUAAUGAAUCAGUGGAAAAUCAGAAAGGGGAACCCCUCAGUACUGGGCAAAUCAGGAAAGUGGGUCACUCUACUUGCUGGAUCUAUGCAAACCCCCCGUGUGACCAGAGGAGUUGGGACUGCAGCCAUCAGCAGCACUGAGUUCAACAGGCGCGGUCCCAGAGGCCCACCCGAGACCUGCUACAUAAACACCGCCUUGAGUUCGCUACUGUCUGAUACAUGCAAGUUUCUGAUAUGUGUUGCCAAGAGUUCUUAAGUGAUAGAAAUACUAAAUUGUGUUAUAAGUAUGAACCUGCAAUAAAAUAAAAUAUGAUUGAGAAUUUAUUUGAAAAAGAAUGAACUUGAAUAAACUAGUAAAUCUUGACAACCAACAACAGAAUAUUAGUCAGUGCUAAACAGAAAUGCACUAUCAAGACAUGGAAGGAAUCUUGAAUGCCUAUUGCUAAAUGAAAGAGGCCAACCUGCAAAGACCAAAUAAUGUGUGAUUCCACCUGUUCUGGAAAGGGCAAAAUAUGAAGGAAUUAAAUUACUGGUGGUUGUCAGGGGCUGGGGGAGGGAGGGAUGAAAAGGUGGAAAACACAGGCUUUUUAAGGCAGUGAAACUAUUCUGUAUGACACUGUGAUGAGGGAUGGAUGUCAUUAUGUAUUUGUCCAAAUUCAUAGAAUGGGUAACACUACGAGUGAGCCCUAAUGUCAAUGCUGCGCUCCAGGGGAUUAUGCCAUGUCCCUGUAGGUUCCCCAGCUGUAUGUCCCACUGUGGGUGACUGGGAUCUCGACAGUCGGGGAGGAUGGCGGUGGGGAGGCUUGGAAAUCUGUACCCUCCGCUCAACUUUGCUGUGCUUAAAAGUGUUGCAAAAAAUAAAGUCUAUUAAAAAG